rnacentral:tRNA from 1 species
GGGGUCGUAGUUCAGUGGCUAGAAUGCUGCCUUGACAUGGCAGAGGUCGCCGGUUCGAGUCCGGUCGGCCCCA